rfam:Helobdella robusta unplaced genomic scaffold HELROscaffold_1380, whole genome shotgun sequence.
UCGACAUUGAUUCUCGGAUUUGUGGGUUUCCAUCUUAUCUGAGUGUCUAUAGUGGCCCUAUGGGAGCUCAUGUACUUUAAUUAGUGCAAAUGAAGUUAUUCCUUACCACAAUGUCGUAUAAUAUUUCUGUUCCCGACCUUGGCCUCUGGUCAAGGUUGGUGUGGACGAGGACUGCAUACUCCAUAAACAUUCCAUAGCCUCUUCAGGCAGUUACUGGGGUGACAAACCAUGCAUGAUACAUCA